UGCUUGCACAGAAGCUGACGAGUGGCGGACGGGUGAGUAAUGCUUGGGAACUUGCCUUUGCGAGGGGGAUAACAGUUGGAAACGACUGCUAAUACCGCAUAAUGUCUACGGACCAAACGGGGCUUCGGCUCCGGCGCAAAGAGAGGCCCAAGUGAGAUUAGCUAGUUGGUAAGGUAACGGCUUACCAAGGCGACGAUCUCUAGCUGUUCUGAGAGGAAGAUCAGCCACACUGGGACUGAGACACGGCCCAGACUCCUACGGGAGGCAGCAGUGGGGAAUAUUGCACAAUGGGGGAAACCCUGAUGCAGCCAUGCCGCGUGUGUGAAGAAGGCCUUCGGGUUGUAAAGCACUUUCAGUUGUGAGGAAAAGUUAGUAGUUAAUACCUGCUAGCCGUGACGUUAACAACAGAAGAAGCACCGGCUAACUCCGUGCCAGCAGCCGCGGUAAUACGGAGGGUGCGAGCGUUAAUCGGAAUUACUGGGCGUAAAGCGCACGCAGGCGGUUUGUUAAGCUAGAUGUGAAAGCCCCGGGCUCAACCUGGGAUGGUCAUUUAGAACUGGCAGACUAGAGUCUUGGAGAGGGGAGUGGAAUUCCAGGUGUAGCGGUGAAAUGCGUAGAUAUCUGGAGGAACAUCAGUGGCGAAGGCGACU
rnacentral:rRNA from 1 species